GACGAACGCUGGCGGCGUGCUUAACACAUGCAAGUCGAACGGAAAGGCCCUGCUUUUGUGGGGUGCUCGAGUGGCGAACGGGUGAGUAACACGUGAGUAACCUGCCCUUGACUUUGGGAUAACUUCAGGAAACUGGGGCUAAUACAGGAUAGGAGCUCCUGCUGCACGGUGGGGGUUGGAAAGUUUCGGCCGUUGGGGAUGGUUUCGCGGCUUAUCAGCUUGUUGGUGGGGUUGGGGCUUACCAAGGCUUUGACGGGUAGCCGGCCUGAGAGGGUGGCCGGCCACCUUGGGACUGAGGUACGGACCAGACUCCUACGGGAGGCAGCAGUGGGGAAUAUUGCACAAUGGGCGGAAGCCUGAUGCAGCAACGCCGCGUGCGGGAUGACGGCCUUCGGGUUGUAAACCGCUUUCGCCUGUGACGAAGCGUGAGUGACGGUAAUGGGUAAAGAAGCACCGGCUAACUACGUG
rnacentral:rRNA from 1 species